ACAAUAGUCUGUGGAUGUUUACCUUUAACCUUGAUAUACUUACUAAAGAAAAAGAAACUAGUAGUUGAUGUCUAGAUUAUCUUAUAUUCCUAAAGAAAUUUUUUGCAGCUGCUUCAUCAAAAUCUGUUCAUCUAGAAAGGAAAAAAGUAAUAUAUAUUUGAAACACUGUUUAAGUAAAACAUCUGAAGAAAACUUUGAUGGCAUUCUGGAAUAUUUGGGGGAAAAUACAUGUUUGGCAUAACUAUAUUAACAUGAGGUGUCUUGAUUAAUCAUGCUAAACAUUCUUCAGGUAAGGCAAGUUCAUGCUUCCUGUGUUUCAGAGCUCCCCACCACUGCAUAAAUUGACUUUUUUAUGAUAUAGGAAGAGCUUUACUCAUUUUAUGGCUUUUAAUUAUUUUCUCGUAUUGAAAAUACUAGUAUAGUGAAGCUAGAAGACAGUAACUGGAGUACUUGUGAAAUGUUGCUAGUAAGUGAAAGCUUGGUCAUCUGAGCAAGAGAACUAUUUUAACCUUUUUGGAAAUGUUUUAUUAGUAAUAUACUGGAUUUCAGUAGUAUUUCAAAUUGGGAGAUUCAGUGAUAAAGACUUGACGUUCAGCCCUUUCUAUUAGGGUGUUAAGUAUCCAUGAUUCCAUUAAAUCAUCUACUGAGCUUCCAGCAAAACCAAGAAGCAACAGAUGACAUGAAUGGCUAUAUGGAGGCAACUUACUGCAGUUUUCACAGUUGCGCUUUCAUUUACUUGUGUUCUGUUAGUACUAGCAGUCAUGUAUAAUGAAGAGGGAUUUCCUCAGCAGAAGAUCCCCCUCAAAUACAUUCAGCAGCCCCAGCCUUAAUGUUUAGACCUGAUCAAGGUGUGUGUUUUAAUACAGACUUGCAAAAUUUUAAAAGACUAAAAGUCCGUAUCUUUUAGCAGCGCAAUUUGAAAAUCCUCAAUUUCAUACAAGGAUUUGUAAAUAUAUAGCUAGAGUAUUUCAGGAGUGUAAUUGAAAACUUAAAGAUUAGUAAAUUCUUCAAUUCCAUCCUGUGCUGCUAACAAAACUCUUUGCUUCUGAGGUUCUGAACUUGCAAAAGAGUCUGUUACUGUAAAUCCUUCCCAUAAAUACAUUUUUGUGCUUGACUUCAGCAGAGCAAAGCAGAUUGCUGCCUGUGGCAUCAAGACUUCAAGGUUAAAAGAAUCUGCGUCUUGCUAAUUAAGUGUUUAAACAGGUUAUAUUUUGUGGAUAUUCACAUGUGUUUCACUUAACUUCAGUGAACAGUGUUUUUCCAACUUGAUUGUAGCUGAUCUCAACAGGAGAGAUAGUAGACCCAGAAUAGCAGUAAAUGAAUUCUAACAUCAUUUAUGUUAGCUCAAAUACAAUUAUCUUUGCUUUUGUAAUAACUUGAGUGCUUUGUGUCCUAAUUAAAUAGGUAAAUGAGGUCAUUACCUCUGACUUUUUUUUUAAUUUCCGCAAAUGUACUGAGUCAUUUUUGACUUGUUUGCUUGAGGCAUGUAAGAUUAUAGUUUAUGCAGAAGGAUGAGUAUAUGAAGAUUACUUUUCUGUCUGUAUUUAAUAGCAGAACUGUUUAUUGAUUUGCUUUCUUAAGACCUGAUUGUAGUAAUAGUGGAAAAAAUACUGAAACUGCUGAGAACAAGCUUAAUGAUUGUAUUGGCAGAGAGUAUGUUAUGUACAUAGCCUUUUGUCAAUCUCUACACAUUAUUAAAAAUUCCUGCUUUCAACACG